UACAGAGGGUGCAAGCGUUAAUCGGAUUUACUGGGCGUAAAGCGUGCGUAGGCGGUUCAUUAAGUCGGUUGUGAAAUCCCUGGGCUUAACCUGGGAACUGCAGUCGAUACUGGUGGACUAGAAUGCGGUAGAGGGUGGCGGAACUCCGGGUGUAGCGGUGAAAUGCGUAGAUAUCGUCUGGAACGCCGAAGGUGAAAACAGCUCGCUGGGGCUGCGCUGACGCUGAGACACGAAAGCCAGGGGAGCGAACGGG
rnacentral:rRNA from 1 species